UACGGAGGGUGCAAGCGUUGUUCGGAAUUAUUGGGCGUAAAGAGAACGUAGGCGGAUUUGUGUGUCGAUUGUGAAAGCCCAGGGCUCAACCUUGGAAUUGCAGUCGAAACUGCGGAUCUUGAAUACUUGAGAGGGUGGGGGAAUUCCUGGUGGAGAAGUGAAAUUCGUAGAGAUCAGGAGGAACAUCAGAGGCGAAGGCGCCUGCCUGGCAAUGUAUUGACGCUGAGGUUCGAAAGCGUGGGGAGCAAACAGGAUUAGAUACCCUGGUAGUCCACGCCGUAAACGAUGGAUACUAGGUGUUUGGUAGAUUAACCUACUGAGUACCGGAGUUCACGCAUUAAGUAUCCCGCCUGGGGAGUACGGUCGCAAGGCUAAA
rnacentral:rRNA from 1 species